AUGAGGAUCCAAAAGAUCAGAGGGGUUUCGGUUGUGCAGAAAACGAUGAGGAAUGUAUGGAGUUGUGAUGCAAAGAGUGAAGCUAAUCGUUACAAUUUUUUUGACGAUUCUGCAAAGGGUAUCGAUGGGUCAAUGAGAGAGGUGGGUAACAUAGUUUUGAAUCCUAAUUUUUGUUGGUGCAUUGUUGGUGUUGAUGGUAGGCUGCAGUGA